UCCUUAAUCCCCACCCUUCAG
rnacentral:miRNA from 1 species